GCAGCAGCAUUCAUUACAACUUGGAAAAAAAAGUAUCACACGUAUCUGGCUAACCAAUAACUGUCUAUGUUUUUUGUCUAUCAAAAAAUGUCUCAUGUAAUUCAUUCUAGUUCAGCUUUAAUCCUCAUAGAUGCAUAAAUAAACUAUCAGUUAACUAUCAGUUCUGUUUAAAGUGUUGACAAAAAGUUGAAUGCUCUCCUAGCUGUACAGUAAGUCGCUUUGGCUAAAAGUCCUGUAGUCAUGCAGCUGCGAUCCUCUGGAAGGCCUACAGCAUAUCCUCCCUCCCUCCGAUCCAGCGGCCGCUAUUCACUCCCUUCUCCCUCUUCCAAAGGCCCGACCGCAGUUCUCAUUUGCUUUAUUCAACUCUCCAUCAACAGCCAUAGCCAGCUCACAAACAUCUAUGAUUAUCAAAGGCAUCAAGAGAACCCAGUCCGCCCGUCGAGACGCCAUGCAUCUCUACCCUCAGCAAAGGAUACCACUCCAGGCAUGUCGCCCGCAAACUCGACGCCAUGUUCAACCUAGCCAUUUUUUGUUUUCUAAGAUCCUCAAAAAUCUCCACCACAUCCACCUUUAACCCCCUAGUCCAUCCAACCAUAUCCGACCUAUCAGUAAUCGAUCCAGAGACAAUGUCAUACUCGAUCAGGCAAAGCAAGACCAAACCAGAAUAGACCCUUCUGUCUAUAUUUUCAACCCCCAGUCACCGAUUCAACCUUACCAAACCUCCCUAGCCUACCUUCACUUCAGGAAACCCCAGACCAAAGCCGCAUCAAGUCCCCUCUUCAUCGACAACUCUAACCGGCCAUACACUUCUGGUUCCAAAAGCACUUCAAAGCCAUCCUGCUCCAAUCCGGCAUCCAAGCAGACCACUUUUCCGGUAACUCCUUCCGCAUAGGCGCAGCAACCACAGCUGCUCAAAAAGACCUCUCUCAGUUUCAAAUCCAAGCACUCAGCCGCUGGUCAUCGGAAGAUUUCAAGAGCUGCAUCUGGUCAGAUCGCAGCCCAUCUAACCCUAAUUUCCUGAAUCAUCUAAAAACACCUCAUUCCCCCGCAUGGGUUCGAACCUCCACUACCUCAGCAGUCAACUCCUCAUUAGGAGAUUUCAGCGCCGCAGCAAACGCCUCAACAAUCACCAGGGCUUUUAUCUCAAGACCUGUCACUCCAGACCGCCUCUGCAAGUGUGAAGCAAGAAGCAAGUGUGGCACUACCGCCUCCACAGAGGCCCACGCUUCCAUCUCUAGCGUAGAAGUCAGCAUCGCCGCAGCAAUUGCCUCCGGAGAGGCCAGUGCUUUCAUCUCAAGCUUAGAAGCCAACAUCGCCGCAGAGGCCAGUGCUUUCAUCUCAAGCAUAGAAGCCAACAUCACCUUAGCGACCACCUCCGCAGAUGACAGUGCUCCCAUCUCGCACUUUGCCGAAUAAGACUUCACAGCUGAAGCCAGCAUCGCUUCAGCAUUCACCCAAGCAAGGGUCAGUGCUUCCAUCACGCCCUUUUCUACAGGGGACGCAACUUUUUUCCAUUGCCUCCAUUGUUACCACCGGGGACACCCACAAAGUCCUGCCUGCUCCAACGGGAUCAGAAAUCCCCAUCAUAAUAACCUCUGAAUUCACUGCACUCAGCCGCUCAGCAACCAACACGAUUACAGGAAACAAUAUCCCACCUCAUUUAAGGGACCCUACACCAGCUUCCCGUCUUCUCACAAUGACAUCUCCCGAGAAGCCCUCAUCCUCUCGUCUUUUCCAGAACGCAGGUCACCACCUGCGUAACGCAUACGCCGCGUUUUGGGGGGGUUAUGCAUACACCGGCUGUUGUCCCACUUUAUAAUGCCCUGGGGGGGUGUGCUCUGGGCUCGAGCCGGUUCCCAGCUCGGGGCACUUGCCCUUGCCAGGGUAGAGUGCUCCGAGUUAGGAUAGAUCCGGUGGGACUUCUCUCACAACGCAGUGCGAGUGAUAACUUUGCAGGUGGGAGACACAUUGUUGGGCAUUUAAAACACUCUCCGCUUGCAUAAUUUUAUUUGUUUCCAUUUAUUUAUCCCCGUUUAUCAAGCUAGUGAAGGUAUUGUUCUAUUCAGCUGCUUAAUUUGCAAUUUAAUUUUGAAUGUCAAUGUGGCGCAGCGCCCAGGUCCUAAUCAGCGUUGCCAGGGUAACACGCAACUAACCACUCACAGCUGCCGGUCGUCAGCACCUGCAGCUCGUUCCCGGGCCCUAUAAAGGCGGGAGAGAGGAAUGAGAUGACAGACUUCCACUCCACAUGCUAACCCCAUGAAUAUACACUGUCUCUUUCUGUCUUUUGAGCAGGUAACAGUGCAAGAGGACUCGCAGAGGAACUGACACAACAUUACUUCAUUACAAAACACAUGACUGCACACGGAAACCCCAGAGGGACUAUUUUGCACAUUUUCCCCCAACUGCACACUUAAUAAACUGCACUCCGGGGGGUUUUUACCCUGUGUUGUUUCGUGCUUUGCUCGCCACAGUCAAGUUUAAGAUAGUGAACAUUUUGUUUUAUUAUUCAUUUGUUGCACCAUUGCUGGUUUAAUAAACAACUCAGUACAUUUUUGAAUAAUUUGUUUGUUAUUUUGUUUUACGGGGUUAGGAAAUUAAUGUUAAGUCGAGCCUGAUGUCUUGCACAGCAAUGCACACAGUUUAUCGAGUAAUUGUUAUGAAUCUCAGGUAUCGGAAUCGGAAGCAAAAAAGGUGGAUCAGAGCAUCCCAAGUACUUAAUGUAGUAGUGUACACAUUUAGUGUAAUCUUCCAGAUCUUGGUGACUCCAGUCUGUGUUAUCAAAGUAGUCUUGCAGCUGUGAGGAGGCACCAGCAGGCCAUAUUUUGACAGUUUUUGAGGUGGGGGGGUUUCUUUUCCUGAUAGGUAUGUAGGUUGGUAACAUGAACAGGGAGAUAUAACCCGACUGACACAGAAGUUGUAAUGAUAUAGCUCUAUAACCAUGCUUAAUGUUUGUGUAUACUUUAUCAGGUGGGUUUUUCCACGUGUGGGACAAUUCACGUGUUGAUAGAAUUUUUUAACAACUUUUUCAAGUCCAGGUGAUUAAAAUCCCCCGCUAUUAUGUUUAUUAAGUUCAGUGUUAACUGCACUGUAUAGGAGGUUAAAGGCCAAUUCAACUUUAGAAUCCGGGGCUAUGUAUACUCCCAUGAUCAAAACAGCCGUUGACAACUCUCAAAUAUUCUCAAUCCGGAGAGCAGUGACUGUCUAUAGUCUUGGUAUUAGUAGCCCAUUUUUCACUAAUAUAAAUACAAAGUCCCCCACCUCAUUGUUUCAGUGAUUGUUGGUUCCGGUUGUGGAGGUGUAGUAUGAAGCCGUUUAACUCCACAGGUGCAUCGGGAAUUCCAGGGUGAAGCCACGAUUCUGUUUCCUGCACUCUCCCAGUUUGGUUUCCGGUUCCUGAUUGCAUCGCUGCCGGCGGCUAGUUUGUAUCCUCUGACACUUGUUUCACCUCACAUUUGUUCUUGGUCUUAAUAUUAGUGUAUUUUACUAUAGUUACCUAUCACUGCCGUUGCCGAAUUAUUUAUAACUUUAUAUUCUUAAACUUUAUUAAAUGAAACGUAAUGCCGCUAGCAUAGUAUUAGCAUGUUAGCUUGCCUUCUGUUUACACUGUGGAAUAUCAUCUCCCCCUAUUUGUCUUGUGUUCUUACUGUUUCUCUUUUUAAGCAGAUAUACUAAGACUCAUCAAGCAGCCUUGGAAAGUUAGGAUUGCACUUCAUACCCGAUGAUAUUUUAAGAUCUACAAGAAGGAUGGUGCUAUCCCCUAAAGUUCUAACCAUGGGGCCAUCCAUCCAUCCAUUUUCUACCGCUUAUCCAGGGCCGGGUCGCGGGAGCAGCAGUCAGUCUAAGCAGGGAUGCCCAGACUUCCCUCUCCCUAGACACUUCCUGGGGUCCCACGCGGCAUCUUGUGGAGGCUGCUCCGGGAGUAUGGAAUUCGGGACCCUAUGCUAAGGACUAUCCGGUCCCUGUACGACCGGAGCAGGAGCUUGGUUCGCAUUGCCGGCAGUAAGUCAGACUUGUUUCCGGUGCAUGAUGGACUCCGGCAGGGCUGCCCUUUGUCGCCGGUUCUGUUCAUAAUUUUGUGUUCAACACUGUAAACAGCGUUGGUAGGGCACUGCUUACCCCUCCUGAGGCACCGAAGGGUUUGCCAGAAUCUCUUCGAGGCCGACCGAUAGUCCUUCUCCAUGGCCUCACCGAACUCCUCCCAGGCCCAAGUUUUUGCCUCCCAAACCAUCCGGGCUGCCAUCCGCUUGGCCUGUUUGUACCUGUCAGCUGCCUCUGGAGUCCCACAAGCCAGCCAGGCCCGAUAGGACUCCUUCUUCAGCUUGACGGCAUCCCUUACUUCUGGUGUCCACCACCGGGUUCGGGGAUUGCCGCCUGACAGGCACCGGAGACCUUACGGCCACAGCUCCGAGUGGCCGCGUUGACAAUUGAGGUGGAGAACAUGGUCCACUCGGACUCAAAAUCUCCAGACUCCCUCGGGAUCUGGUCGAAGCUCUGCCGGAGGUGGAAGUUGAAGAUCUCUCUGACAGACAAUUCGGCCAAACGUUCCCAACAGACCCUCACAGUACAUUUGGGUCUGCAGAGUCUAACCAUGGGUUAUAAUACAAUUGUUUAGCACUCCUAGAAUAGAAUAGUCCAAUAACUUCUUCACAUCUUGUUGAGUAAAGACUGAGUCACAACAGUGGGUUUUAAAUGUAGCUUCUGUUAAUAGAGUAGUAGCUAAGGAUGUGUUUAUGGUAAUAGGUCAAAGAAUUUUUGGGGGACUCAAACACCCCUACAUUCACUUUUCACAGCGUAACUCUUGAGACUGCAUCAGACUGAGACUGUAGUAGUUUCUUUUUUAUUUCAACCCUCUUCAUCGCCAUUAUUUCAUGUUGUACAUUUGAUAGCAAAGAAGCAUAAACAGAUAGUGUUUACAUUUCUCAUUGUUUUACGGGCAUUUGUAAGCGUUAAACAAAUGGUUAAAUGUUUUUUUUAACGGUUCUCUUUUUCCCUUUCUGACAGAAACCAACUGAAUGUAUUAAAAAUAAUAGCAAGAGAAGGCCACUCUGCAAGUUUUUUAAUUAUCACCGUAUUUUCCUGUAUGUGUUAUAUGCUUUUUAUGUUUUUCCAGACAGAUCUAACAGUUUGUGUGCUGGAUUGUGCAAUACACAUGAUUGUUAAAAUGUAGUUGCAUUAAAGAAUAUCUUUUAAGUGUAAAAAAUCUAGAUUUGUAGUUCUAAGAAACGUACAAAUAAACUAAAAAUGUCAAUUGCGUGCAGGAAAAUAGGCAACUUAUGCAGACAAUGUGUCUUGUGAAACGCUGCAAAUGGGGUUUUAAAUGUUUAAAAAACACAUUGAGCUACUGAGAUAGAUUUGCUAGGGUUUCCGUUUUUGGAAAGUUCUUCAUUUUAAAGGAUUGGAUGUUUUAGCCUAGUUUAAUCUGAUU